rnacentral:rRNA from 1 species
GACGAACGCUGGCGGCGUGCCUAAUACAUGCAAGUCGAACGGAGUGGCGAACGGGUGAGUAACACGUGGGUGAUCUGCCUUGCACUCUGGGAUAAGCUUGGGAAACUGGGUCUAAUACCGGAUAGUGCAAGAUGAGGUCGCGGCCUAUCAGCUUGUUGGUGGGGUAAUGGCCUACCAAGGCGUCGACGGGUAGCCGGCCUGAGAGGGUGUACGGCCGCAUUGAGACUGAGGUACGGCCCAGGCGCGGAAGGGAGGCAGCAGGGGGGAAGAUUGAUCAAUGGGCGGAAGCUUGAUGCAGCGACGCCGCGUGGGGGAUGGCGGCCUUCGGGUUGUAAACUGCUUUCGACAGGGACGCGGUACCUGUAUAAGAAGCACCGGCUAACUACGUGCCAGCAGCCGCGGUAAUUC